rnacentral:rRNA from 1 species
AUUGAACGCUGGCGGCAUGCCUUACACAUGCAAGUCGAACGGCAGCACGGGAGCAAUCCUGGUGGCGAGUGGCGAACGGGUGAGUAAUAUAUCGGAACGUGCCCAGUCGUGGGGAUAACGUAGCGAAAGCUACGCUAAUACCGCAUACGAUCUAUGGAUGAAAGCGGGGGAUCGCAAGACCUCGCGCGAUUGGAGCGGCCGAUAUCAGAUUAGGUAGUUGGUGAGGUAAAGGCUCACCAAGCCGACGAUCUGUAGCUGGUCUGAGAGGACGACCAGCCACACUGGGACUGAGACACGGCCCAGACUCCUACGGGAGGCAGCAGUGGGGAAUAUUGGACAA